ACUAAACAGGAUUCUCUUAGUAACUGCGAGUGAACAGAGAUUAGCCCAGCAUCGAAGCCUCUGUGCGUUUGUGCAGAAGGCAAUGUGAUGUGACGGUGUUCGAUUUCGCAAACUGACUAACUUGAAGUCCAUAUUUGACUGUGGCUUACACUUAUGCUCCCCGAGAUGGUGAAAGGCCCGUUCAGGUUGGUAUUCAGAAUUGACUGUUUGCGUAUAUUCGUUCACCAUAGAGUCGGAUUGCUUGAGAGUGCAGUCCAAAUUUGGUGGUAAACUCCAUCAAAGGCUAAAUACCUGUGUGAGUCCGAUAGUCAACAAGUACCGUGAGGGAAAGUUGAAAAGUACUCUGAAGAGAGAGUAAAUAGUACGUGAAACUACAUGGAGGUUAAUCGGAUAGAGUCCAACUGCGU
rnacentral:rRNA from 1 species